CUUUAUGAAGAAAAUGAGCCUUCACGAUAUAAGAGGCAAUGUCAUGGUCUACGAGAUGAUGAUGUUGAGGAUGAUAUGGAGGUAGAACUUCUUGGAGAUGAUAUCGACUUGGGAUCUUUUGGUGACGUGAACAUUGAUAAUAGAUCAAACAAUCCGAGCUCUAGUGCAAAUGCGAAUGAGAAUGAUGAUGAUGAUUGGCUAAAUUAUCGUCCCUAGGAGAUUUAGG